CCUCCUUUCAACCAGAUUUCACAGAUUGAAGGAACUUCCUUUUCCACUGCAAGCAGAGUUUGAACCUUUACAAGGGAACGGUUUUGUCUUUGAAAUUUGUUGUUACUGAAUCGUAAAGUUUAUCAGCUAGUUUACAGUGGAAGGAUCUGUUUCUUAUCACUGGCUAUAAAAUUCAGCUAACAUUAAUCUAGCACCAGGAUCAGCAGUGCUUAGCAUAAGCUAAGUCAGAUAUUUUGCUAGCUAAUUUAGCUAACGUCGGUAGCCUCGAACCCUGGCCAUAUUAUAUCAUAUAGUUAGCCUCAAACUUUGCCCGGUCAUACUGCUAGCCGCAGUGAACGGCACCGUCUUGUGUUUUAUUAAAAGCCCUGCUGAAAAAACAUGUAAACUAUAACAGCCACGGAAACACAUUGGACUGUGUUGAUACUAUCAAGAAGGGAACCAUGAAGAGGAGCUUGGAGUGGGCAAGAUAAAGCAGCAGAGAAGACUUGAUUCAUCAAGUAUCAAUUAAUUUAGGUGAUUCUCACCUGGUCGGCAUGCACAACACGACAAGACACUUCAAUCCGACACUCUUGUUAAUGUUUGACGUCAGGCAGAACGUCUUCAGCCACAGUAGGACGGAGAGCCGCUGGUUGGCAUGUGACUGCAGUGUCUGUGGGUGAACCAGGAAAGGACGUUAGAAAUUAGGUCCCCAUGACAUCGAAGCUUCUUACCGUCUCCACUGCAGCCCAGUCGAUAUCGAUUAAAAAAACUGGAACAACAGAUUGUGCUACACUAUGUACUACUCCACUUUGCCUAUUGUCCCAACAAAUGUCAAUUAUACAUUUUUAAAUACGUCAGAGUGCAUUUUCUUUUAUAGCUCUGCUUUCAACGCCAUCCUUACCCACAAACUGGUUAGCAGGCUCUGGGUGUAAAUCCUGUAAUAACAAAUUCGAUUUUUUACAUUAUAAGAAUGUGUAUCCCCAGAAUGGACCCGACACUACCAUGGUACACAUGAGUACAUGGAGGAGCUGUGGGGUCUGACAUAAUGGUGAUAGGACAACAGUCUCAGCGUAAACAAAACAAAGUCAAUGGUGAUACUUGACCAUUCUCCCAUCUACUGUACAUUAACAUGGAGAUGAUCAGCAGCUUCAAGUUCCUGGGCACCCUGAUAUCCUUUUCUGCCCUCAGUUACUUCACUCAAAGUCCCACCAGUGCUUCUCCACUACCCUCAAAACUUGCUGCACCACGACCUAUGUACCAACUACAGUGUCUUAUUGCCAUAACACAUGCAAAUGAAAUGUCCAUAAUUACUGUAAGAUUUAUUUAUGGUAACAUUGCACAUAUUGUAACAUAGUCCCUUGACAUACAUGACUUAACUACUAUGCAUAAUGCUCAGUUCACCCACUAAGAAAUCAUACAUGUAUUUAAAUAUUAAAGCUGCAUUAUGUAUUACUGUG